rnacentral:rRNA from 1 species
UAGGGAAUCCUCCACAAUGGACGCAAGUCUGAUGGAGCAACGGCCGCGUGAGUGAAGAAGGCUUUCGGGUCGUAAAACUCUGUUAUUGAAGAAGAACGUGUGUGACAGUAACUGGUCAUGCAGUGACGGUAUUCAAUCAGAAAGUCACGGCCAACUACGUGCCAGCAGCCGCGGUAAUACGUAGGUGGCAAGCGUUGUCCGGAUUUAUUGGGCGUAAAGCGAGUGCAGGCGGUCUUUUAAGUCUGAUGUGAAAAGCCUUCGGCUUAACCGAGGAAGGGCAUCGGAAACUGGGAGACUUGAGUGCAGAAGAGGAGAGUGGAACUCCAUGUGUAGCGGUGAAAUGCGUAGAUAUAUGGAAGAACACCAGUGGCGAAGGCGGCUCUCUGGUCUGUAACUGACGCUGAGGCUCGAAAGCGUGGGUAGCAAA